AAUGCUAGGAAGACCACAUUUAUAGAUUACCUUGUAUAGCACCUCUCUAAUAGAAGUGGAGAGGUGGUACACAAGGUAGUUUAUAAAUGUGGUCUUCCUAGCAUU
rnacentral:pre_miRNA from 1 species